GACGAACGCUGGCGGCGUGCUUAACACAUGCAAGUCGAACCGAGUGGCGAACGGGUGAGUAACACGUGGGUGACCUGCCCUGCACUUCUGGAUAAGCCUGGGAAACUGGGUCUAAUACCGGAUAGUGCGGGCUGGGCCCGCGGCCGAUCAGCUGGUUGGUGGGGUAAUGGCCUACCAAGGCGGCGACGGGUAGCCGGCCUGAGAGGGUGGACGGCCAAAGUGGGAAUGAGACAUGGCCCAGAUGCCUACGGGGGGCAGCAGUGGGGUAUAUAGCAGUAUUGGCGGAAUCCUGAUGCAGCGACGCCGGGUGGGGGAUGACGGCCUUCGGGUUGUAAACUCCUUUCACCAUCGGCGCGGUAGAUGGAGAGGAGGCACCGGCUAACUACGUGCCAGCAGCCGCGGUAAUAG
rnacentral:rRNA from 1 species